rnacentral:lncRNA from 1 species
GCAAGAGGUGCUGAAGCUGCAGCAAGCUCUCAAGCAACAGGACCACGUGAUGCAGCCUUCAUAGCUUUGAGGUUGUUCUCUUAUAUGCAAAUCACCAUAGAAAGAAAGCUCUCUCUCACACCUGAAGUUGGAGAGUGAAUGUAUUAUUAGUGUAAGCAUUUAUUUGUCGUAUAGAAGAACUGUGCAGCCAUCAAAAUAUAAAGGAAAAAGAGAAAGUUAUACGUCCAAACAACUGUGUUCUAUCUCUUUCCUUCUCUUUGUUAUUUCGUCUUUUGUUUUCUGCUCAAGUCAAACUCUCCUCCAUUCGUUUUCAUCAUGUGGACACUACUAGUUUGGUCAUUGGUGAAGAUUUUUAGUACUUUUAGUGAAUAAAACAUUUUACUUCUUCAAUGAAUAAGAAUUGCGACUAAGCUUACAAAUAUGCAAAUGAGAUUAGAUAAAACAUUACAGUACUGCGUUUGAAUAAUAAAUCACAUGUAUACUGUCUGUUGGCUUCAACUGAUUUCUAAUACUGGAACCUUGUAGGCGGCUUAACAAUAACAGUCUCACUGGGUCUAUUCCCAUGUCCUUGACCAAUAUUACUCCCCUUCUUCAAGUGUUGUGAGUUUUCUCAGCAACAUUCAUUUAAAUCUGCUUUAUUCACCUUUCAGUUGGUUUGUUUGAGUUAAUGCACUUAACCUUGAUGGAUGCAACACAGAGAUGUAUCAAAUAGCCAACUCUCUGGUUCGGUUCCUCACAAAUCACAAUGGCUCCUUCUCACUCUUCACACUUCUUCUGGCAAUGUCUGAACUUCUCAUUUUCAUCUGGGGCAGCUCAAGAGAUUUUCUUUGCGGGAUAGCAAGCGACGGUUUCAGUAACAAGAACAUUCUAGGAAGAGGUGAGUUCGGGAAAGUAUACAAGGGCAAACAGAGUUAACAGACGGAACUCUUGUUGCUGUCAAGAUAAUGAAAGAAGAGCGAAUCCCAGGCGGAGAACUCCAGUUUCAGACAGAAGUAGAGAUGAAUAAGUAUGGCAGUUCUUCCAAACCUCUCGAGAUUACAAGGUUUCUAUAUGACAAGCGUUGUUUCUUGUUUAGGUGGAAAGGGUUGUUGAAGGAGAAGAAGCUCGAGAUGUUGGUGGAUCCUGAUCUUUAAACGAACUAUAAGGAAAGAGAACUGGAACAAGAGAUUCAAGUGGCAUUACUUUGCACGCAAGGAUCUCCAAUGGAACGACCAAUGACGUCAGAAGGCUGUAAGGACGCUUGAAGGAGAUGGGCUCGCUGAGAAAUAGGGACGAGUGGCAGAAAGUUUAAGAUUUUGAGGGAAGAGAUCGACUUGAGUCCUAAUCCUCACUCUGAUUAGAUCAUUGAUUCUACUUAAAAUCUGCACGCCAUUGAGUUAUCUGGUCCCAGAUAAAACACAAACAUACAAAAUUGAAAUAAAAGUUAGUAGCCUUGUAACCAGUAAUUGGAUCAUAAUCUAAAGAUGUUUGUUGUCUCUAAUGUAAGAACAAGAAUGUUAUCAUUGUUUGGUGACAGAGUCUCAAAAGCAGGUUGGAGGGGCUGUGGAUUCGAGUAUGCAUCAGCCGGUUUGUGUCCACCUUGCUAUGCAGGCUGCGUCUGUUAUGGCAGGUGCGCUAGGUGGUCCACAGGUCGGUUCGCAAAGUACGCUGCAGGUUCCAGCUAGUGAUCCCCUGACUCUUCAUCUUGCCAAGAUGUCUAGAACUCAGCUCUCUGAAAUUAUAACGUCCAUUAAGGUGUGAAGUUGUUCCCUUGAUUGUGUAUUGACGCAGUGUUGAACUAUUGUGUACGAAUGGUGUGAAUGUGAUUGUGACUGUGUUUUGUUCUUAAUGGUCAGUUAAUGGCUACGCAGAAUAAGGAAGAAGCUCGACAGUUGUUGGUUUCAAGACCUCACUUGCUAAAAGCUGUCUUUCUGGUACUACUUUCACAUCUCCUGAUUCUGCAAAUCAUUUGUCUCUUGUGCAAUCUUUCCAAUGCUAUAAUAAGGUAGUGUUGGUGAUAUAUCAUGGAAGUUAGGAGGGAACAAUCAGUUUAGUUUCGCCAUUUACUGACCUUAGUAUUCCCUUAACUAGAUGAGUCAAUCUCCCAGGGUGUAUUACAUUAUGUUUUGUACACCAUCUUUUGAACCUAUACCUUCUCUGCUAUUGUAGGCACAAAUAAUGCUUGGAAUUGUGAGUCCACAAGUCGUAAGUUUCCAUCUCUCUGAAUAGUUUUGUGCGUCUUCCUUAUCUAUCUAUGUGCUAUUUCUUAAGAGGGCUGUUUCCAUUCUUGAACUGUGCAGUUGCAGACGCCAAAUAUUGUUCAGGCCCCAAACCAUAUGACAGGAUCUUCAAUUCAUGACACACAUCUCUCUGGAUCUAGUCAAAGCCUUUUACCACCACUUGCACAAAGACCGCAACAGCUAAACCGCCCUCCACAUAGUCAGUUUCCCGUUCAACAGUCUUCUAAACAACCUUUUAGUCAGAUUCCACAACCAGGCGUGAAUCCUCCUCCUAGAUCCCAAGUUAAAGGUCUCAGCGAAACCGCUGCUCCAUUCCAACGCCAAAAACAAGUGGUUCCAGCUUCUAAUGCUAUCCAACCAUCUCAAGUACCUCGGCCACCAUUAACAAGCUCUGUGAUGCAGGUGCGUUUUCAGUGGGCUAUAUGAUCCUAUUCAUUACUUUCUUACUUUUAUUUGUGUGUUUAGAUUCUCUGUGGAGAUUACUUAACAUCUGUGUAUAUACACAUAUAUAUACUUUACAGCAAGGUGGGCAAAUGGCAUCACUACACUAUGGCAAAAGAAUAAACAAUGAGGGACCUCAUGAAUCAAUAGAUAGACCAUCGAAGAUGAUGAGAGUGGACGAUCGGAGAACCACUCCAUUUCAUACAGGCCAUGCGUCUAACACAAUGCUUCCAAAUCCACUACAGCUACAAGAGAAAGCGCCUCAGGUACCACCAGUUCACAUAAUUUGGAAGCUUAAUUAGAUGAAAGAAUUGUUUGAUUGAUUGUUUUUUUUUUGGUCUAGGCGCUUCUGUCCCCGGAUGUUCAGUCAACAUUGCUCCAGCAAGUGAUGAACCUUACGCCGGAUCAGCUGAGGAUGCUGACCCCAGAACAACAGCAAGAGGUGCUGAAGCUGCAGCAAGCUCUCAAGCAACAGGACCACGUGAUGCAGCCUUCAUAGCUUUGAGGUUGUUCUCUUAUAUGCAAAUCACCAUAGAAAGAAAGCUCUCUCUCACACCUGAAGUUGGAGAGUGAAUGUAUUAUUAGUGUAAGCAUUUAUUUGUCGUAUAGAAGAACUGUGCAGCCAUCAAAAUAUAAAGGAAAAAGAGAAAGUUAUACGUCCAAA